rnacentral:rRNA from 1 species
UACGUAGGUGGCAAGCGUUGUCCGGAAUUACUGGGUGUAAAGGGUGCGUAGGCGGGUAUGCAAGUCAGGUGUGAAAUUCCGAGGCUCAACUUCGGAACUGCACAUGAAACUGCAUAUCUUGAGUGAAGGAGAGGUAAGCGGAAUUCCCAGUGUAGCGGUGAAAUGCGUAGAUAUUGGGAGGAACACCAGUGGCGAAGGCGGCUUACUGGACUUUAACUGACGCUGAUGCACGAAAGCGUGGGUAGCAAACAGG